rnacentral:tRNA from 1 species
AUUUACAUAGUAUAAAAAUUAUAUUUGACUUCCAAUCAAAAGAUCUAAUUCUAGUGUAAAUA